rnacentral:rRNA from 1 species
GAUGAACGCUAGCUACAGGCUUAACACAUGCAAGUCGAGGGGUAACGAGAGGAAAGCUUGCUUUCCUUGUCGACGACCGGCGCACGGGUGAGUAACGCGUAUCCAACCUGCCCCCAACUAGGGAAUAACCUUGCGAAAGUAAGACUAAUACCCUAUAAUUUCCUCAGAUGCCAUCUGACGAGGAAUAAAGAUUUAUCGGUUGUGGAUGGGGAUGCGGCUGAUUAGCUUGUUGGCGGGGUAACGGACAACCAAGGCAACGAUCAGUAGGGGUUCUGAGAGGAAGGUCCCCCACAUUGGAACUGAGACACGGUCCAAACUCCUACGGGAGGCAGCAGUGAGGAAUAUUGGUCAAUGGGCGGAAGCCUGAACCAGCCAAGUAGCGUGCAGGAUGACGGCCCUAUGGGUUGUAAACUGCUUUUAUACAGGAAUAAAGUUAGCCACGUGUGGUUAUUUGUAGGUACUGUAUGAAUAAGGACCGGCUAAUUCCGUGCCAGCCGCCGCGGUAA